GACGAACGCUGGCGGCGUGCCUAAUACAUGCAAGUCGAACGCAUUUUCUUUCACCGUAGCUUGCUACACCGAAAGAAAAUGAGUGGCGAACGGGUGAGUAACACGUGGGUAACCUGCCCAUCAGCGGGGGAUAACACUUGGAAACAGGUGCUAAUACCGCAUAAUUCCAUUUACCGCAUGGUAGAUGGAUGAAAGGCGCUUUUGCGUCACUGAUGGAUGGACCCGCGGUGCAUUAGCUAGUUGGUGGGGUAACGGCCUACCAAGGCUGCGAUGCAUAGCCGACCUGAGAGGGUGAUCGGCCACACUGGGACUGAGACACGGCCCAGACUCCUACGGGGGGCAGCAGUAGGGAAUCUUCGGCAAUGGACGCAAGUCUGACCGAGCAACGCCGCGUGAGUGAAGAAGGUUUUCGGAUCGUAAAACUCUGUUGUUAGAGAAGAACAAGGAUGAGAGUGGAAAGUUCAUCCCUGACGGUAUCUAACCAGAAAGACCGWWWWUUYC
rnacentral:rRNA from 1 species